AUCCACCCGUUCCCAUUCCGAACACGGAAGUUAAGCUCUUUAGCGCCGAUGGUACUGCACGGGCGACUGUGUGGGAGAGUAGGUCAUCGCCGUUU
rnacentral:rRNA from 1 species